AGCGAACGCUGGCGGCAGGCUUAACACAUGCAAGUCGAGCGCCCCGCAAGGGGAGCGGCAGACGGGAGAGUAACACGUGGGAACAUACCUUUUGGUUCGGAACAACUGAGGGAAACUUCAGCUAAUACCGGAUAAGCCCUUACGGGGAAAGAUUUAUCGCCGAAAGAUUGGCCCGCGUCUGAUUAGCUAGUUGGUGAGGUAACGGCUCACCAAGGCGACGAUCAGUAGCUGGUCUGAGAGGAUGAUCAGCCUCACUGGGACUGAGACACGGCCCAGACUCCUACGGGAGGCAGCAGUGGGGAAUAUUGGACAAUGGGGGCAACCCUGAUCCAGCCAUGCCGCGUGAGUGAUGAAGGCCUUAGGGUUGUAAAGUUCUUUUGCCCGGGAAGAUAAUGACGGUACCGGGAGAAUAAGCCCCGGCUAACUUCGUG
rnacentral:rRNA from 1 species